CCUACGGGUGGCAGCAGUGAGGAAUAUUGGUCAAUGGCCGGAAGGCUGAACCAGCCAAGCCGCGUGAAGGACGAAGGUGCCAAGCAUUGUAAACUUCUUUUGUCAAGGGACAAAAUCAGGCUCGAGAGCCUGAACGAGGGUCCUUGAACAAAAAGCAUCGGCAAACUACGCGCCAGAAGCCGCGGUAAUCCGGAGGAUGAGAGCGUUAUCCGGAUGUAUUGGGUUUAAGGGGUGGGUAGGCGGACUGUUAAGUCAGCGGUAAAAGCCCGGGGCGAAACUCCGCGGGGCCGUUGAAACUGGAUGUCUGGAGAUGUGAGGAGGUAGGCGGAAUGCGGAG
rnacentral:rRNA from 1 species